AUUGAACGCUGGCGGCAGGCCUAACACAUGCAAGUCGAACGAGUGGCGGACGGGUGAGUAAUGUCUGGGAAACUGCCUGAUGGAGGGGGAUAACUACUGGAAACGGUAGCUAAUACCGCAUACCAUCAGAUGUGCCCAGAUGGGAUUAGCGAGUUGGGGGGGUACAGGCGCACCAAGGCGACGAUCCCUAGCUGGUAUGAGAGGCUGACCAGCCAAAAUGGAACUGAGAAACGGUCCAGACUCCUACGGGAGGCAGCAGAGGGGAAUAUUGGACAAUGGGCGAAAGCCUGAUCCAGCCAUGCCGCGUGUGUGAAGAAGGUCUUCGGAGUGUAAAGCACUUUAAGUUGGGAGGCGUUACCAACAGAAUAAGCACCGGCUAACUUCGUGCCAGCAGCCGCGGUAAUAC
rnacentral:rRNA from 1 species